GUACUGUGCACCUGCGAUACACCUGAGACUUGGAGACAGUGACCCUGGCGUUCAAUAAGCAUUCAUUUAACGGUUCCCCAGGCAUGGUGCUGGGGAUCAGGGCACAACAGGGACCAACACAGACCCUCACGGGGCGCCAGGAGGAGCGGGGGCAUCCAGAGGAACACGUGGAGCACGUGGCUGCCUUUGCCACACUCCUCCUCCCUGCCCUCCUCCCCAGCCCGGCAUGGCUGGUGUUCAAAGCCCCUGUGUGCUCUGCUCACUUGAAACCGACUCAGCUGAGGGGCUGUGCAAAUGGCGGAGACUGAACAGAGGAGCGAAGUCCCUGAGGGAGAAACCACCCCAGAAAAGACAAGCCAGGUGUCAGGGUGGGGAGCUUGGUUACCACAGUGGGUGCAAGGAGAUGGGGACUGAGCAGGGCCGUGGAUGCUGGCGGCCCUCAGCCAUCAUCCUCCCUGCCCAGGCAAGUUGAAUGGCAGCCCCAAACAGCAAACUCUCAUUUUCCACCUUUUAUUCCAGGAAGGGCACUGUGAGGCUGCAGCGGGGAGCGGGGAGCGGGCAGGGGACCUUGGACCAGGACCUCUGACUAAGCCUGAGUCAGGGCUGCCUUCCACUGGUCCCCACCCACCCUUGCAGGCCACUGAGCCGCCUCUCCUGGCUCAGCCUCUCCCACUUGUUGCCUCCGCCCUCAACUCCUUCAGUGACUUCCUCACCUCUUCAUAAAGUCCAGGCUCUCGUCUUCUCUCCGGCUGCCCCCGACAGUGCCCCGCACCCAGCCCCUCCCACCACCUGUCUCCCAUCUUCCCAGCCUGUCCUCCUCCUGCCCCACUGCCUCACCGUACUCCUGCUCCUCGGGUGCUCCUGAUGGCCUCUAACUGUCCUUCAAACCCAGCCCAGUAGCAGGUCUUCUCAAAGGCUUCCUGCCAUCCCUUCCCUUCCCUGGGUAAGGAAACUGAAGCCUCAGGCGAAGAGAUGAUUUCAAAGAACUUCAGAGCUAAGAGUCUUCUUCGACUAAAGAACUUGAAGGGCCAGUUCCAGAGACCCUGUGACCUCAGGCUCCAGAGAUGGCUCCGUAAGGCAAACUCACCAUGACCACUGGUCAAUGACUCACUUCUCCUCCCAGGCGCCCUCCCAGGGAUGAGCGCUCCUUCACUCUGCCUCCCUCAGCCCUUGCUCCGGUCUCUCUGCAGCUGGGGUCAGUGUUCCCAGUGAAGUCAGCGUGUGGAGCACACAUGCCUCGUACCCACAUUCAUGCCCAUGUGUGCGUGUGCACACGCAUGUGGGGCCUGUGUGUCUCUUUCUCUGAGACCCACUCAAGAUCUGCAUGCACCUCGGGCCCCCUCCCAGAGUGCUGCAGCCAGAUGCACCUGGAGCCCCACCCGUCAGCCCAGGGAGACAUGCCCCUGCUGAAUUCAGAGAAUGAUCCAGAAGGAUUCAGGAAAUGAGGACCAUUCAUGAACCCAGCGACUGAUGAAGAGCACCUUCCUCACAUCCGCUGCCAAACUCACCCGAAAAGAAGAGACAGAGGAAGACCCCAGAGGAUUGCAAUUUGAGGACACCUCCAACUCAUGCUCACUGCACUUGGUCCAAAAUGAUCAGAGGGGAGAUUUGGCUCAUGCUCUGGCCUCACUGGCUCCCAUCACCAUUGCCUCUGCCCCUCCAGCCUCUGCCAGGCGCCUGGCUCUGACCCUUGCUGACACUUCAGGCCCCUCACCCUUAGAACUGACUGCCAAAGGGCUAGUUGCUUAGUCUUCAAGUAAAGGGGGUCUGGAGGACUAUGGAGGAGGCAUAGUGCCUAGAGAGCCCCUCGCCUCAAGACACCCCCACUGCACUUGGGAGGAAAGGCAGGGCUGGGGGAUGGAGGCACUGUGGGGGCCUUUCCUAUUUGGCAGCAGCUGCAGCCAUGCGCACCAUAGCCACAGCACGCAGCACACAUCUUCUGUCUCACAGUGAUUGAAGAUUUUGCCAAACCACCGGUCAGACAGAUUUCCCCCCAAGCCCCACAUUAAUUGAUUUUUGGAUUCUGCAACCCAAGCUCAAGCUCAAGCUCCGAGCUCACUGCUGAGCUCAGACUCCUGGGUGUCCCACAACGGCUUCGAUGUGGAGGCCAUGACGCUGAAGCCAAAGUUGUCAGACACCUGGGCUGCACUUGCCUGUGCAACGAGCCUGGGAAAGCAGCUCUGGGGAUUGCACCCACAGUGCCAGGGCUCGGGAGCCUCUGAGCUCAGGGAGGCCUUCAGGGACAGGCGCUCGGCCAGCUGCCUGGGUAGGCUACUAAUGAGCAGAUGUGUUCCAGGCUGUCUGCCCAAGGGGCAGCUGCACCUGGGCUGGAGAGCUGAGACUCUCUGGGGUUCUGCAGCCUCUGUCCUCCUCAGCCUGGCCCGACAGCCCCUCGUUCUGAUACAGGAGGGCACAGCUGCCUGACGCCCCUCCUUCCCCAUCUCUGCCUCUCUAAUCUUCCUUGAGGAAGAUUCCAUCAGAGGUUUUACUUACAUAUUCCUACACCAUGCCUGGAACAUAGUAGGUACUCAAUAAAUCCAACUUUUCCUGAGUUAGUGGUGAGGAAAAGCUGGACUCAGGAUCAGGCUGCCUGUGAAGCCUGGCCUGUAGCCUGCCAGCUCUCCCAGCCUCAGGGUCCUCACACCCACACGUGUGUGCAGUAACAGAGCACUUCUUGCCUGCAACAGUGCCUGGUUCCCAGUGUAUGCCACUGGGAUCCGUAUUAUUAUUAAGUGAUCCGUAUUAUUAUUUUAUCUUAAGAGAGGAAUCCAGCUGUGUCCAAAUGAGGGGUUGGGACAAAAUAAAAGCUAGAAUCCAGUCUUGCAGGUGGGGACAUGGCACCUGGGUCUCCACACUGACCCGUGCUGCCCACCCUCUCACAUGCUAUCUAGAGACGGCACUCCUUGUGGAAUGCUGCAGGAGGUGCUCCACUGGCACGAAGUGGGUGGGCUCUUAGCACAGACCCAAACAGUAAGUGACUUUUCACACUCCCAUCGCAUCUCCAAAGCUACAUGCAAAACACUGAUCUUCACAGGGGUUAGAACACAACUUCCAGAAGGCCUCUUUCUUUUUUUUUUUUUUCUCCCUUUUUUUUUUUUAUUAUUAUACUUUAAGUUCUGAGAUACAUGUGCAGAACAUGCAGGUUUGUUACAUAGGUAUACAAGAGCCAUGGUGGUUUGCUGCACCCAUCAACCCGUCAUCUACAUUACGUAUUUCUCCUAAUGCUAUCCCUCCCCUAACCCCCAACCCCCUGGCAGGCCCCAGUGUGUGAUGUUCCCCUCCCUGUGUUCAUGUGCUCUCACUGUUCAACUCCCACUUAUGAGGGAGAACAAGCAGUGUUUGGUUUUCUGUUCCUGUGUUAGUUUGCUGAGAAUGAUGGUUUCCAGCUUCAUCCAUGUCCCUGCAAAGGACAUGAAGUCAUCCUUUUUGAUGGCUGUAUAGUAUUCCAUGGUGUAUAUGUGCCAUGUUUUCUUUAUCCAGUCUAUCAUUGAUGGGCAUUUGGGUUGGUUCCAAGUCUUUGUUAUUGUGAACAGUGCUGCAAUAAACAUACGUGUGCAUGCGUCUUUAUAGUAGAAUAAUUGAUAAUCCUUUUGUUAUAUACCCAGUAAUGGCAUUGUUGGGUCAAAUGGUAUUUCUUGUUCUAGAUCCUUGAGGAAUCGCCACACUGUCUUUCACAAUGGUUGAACUGGUUUACACUCCCACCAACAGUGUAAAAGCAUGCCUAUUUUUCCACAUCCUCUCCAGCAUCUGUUGUUGCCUGACUUUUUAAUGAUCACCAUUCUAACUAGCAUGAGAUGGUAUCUCAUUAUGGUUUUGAUUUGCAUUUCUCUAAUGACCAUUUCUCUAAUGAUGAGCUUUUUUUCAUAUGUUUGUUGGCUGCAAAAAUGUCUUCUUUUGAGAAGUGUCCAUUCAUAUCUUUUGCCCAUUUUUUGAGUGGGGUUGCUUUUUUCUUAUAAACUUGUUAAAGUUCCUUAUAGAUUCUGGAUAUUAGCCCUUUGUCAGAUGGAUAGAUUGCAAAAAUUUUCUCCCAUUCUGUAGGUUGUCUGUUCACUCUGAUGAUAGUUUCUUUUGCUGUGCAGAAGCUCUUUAGUUUAAUUAGAU
rnacentral:lncRNA from 10 species